UUGGUGGGCGUCGCUGGACGUCGGCGGGCGUCGCGGGAGAGAGGGGGCGGGGCGGGCGGCGCUGGAGGGAGCGGGGGGCGGGGGAUGCAGCAGCGUUGGGCGAGCUGCGGGCGGGAUGUAGCCGCGCUAGGCGGGCGGCGCCGGCGGGAGCUGGCGGGGCAGUGGCGCGGGUGGGCAGCGCUGGGCGCGCCAGAGGGAGCCGGGAGGGAGCGGGCGGCCCGAGGCAGGCUGCAGCGCGGGGCGAGCGGCGCUGGGCAGGCAGGAGGGAGCCGGGAGGAGCGGGCGGCGUGGGGCGUGCUGCGGCGCGGGGCGGGCGGCGCGGGGCGGGCGGCGCGCGGCGAACUGCGAGCUACUGCUAGUACGCAGCGGCGUGCUGCGGAGCGGGCAGGCCGAGCGACGCGGCUGGGCGGCACCGUCGCGAGAGGACGAGGGCGGCGGCGUCGCGGGCUGGAGGAGCAUGACGUGCGGGCAGUGGAGGAGGGCGCGAGGGCGGCGGGCAGUGGAGGAGGGCGGCGGCGGCGACGACGACGACGUCGCGGUCGGGAGGAGAAUGAAGAGCGGGAGAACGACAGCUCCACCUUCCCUUGCUCGCCUCCGCUCACCUGCGUGCUCCGGCAACAGCCGCUUUCGGACUUCGGUUUCCCUCCACUGGCGCUCCAAAGGUCGAAUCUGGUGCCGCCCUUCGCUCUUGCUCACUGUUUUACACCUAAAAGAAAGGUCCUCGCCGUCGAGCCGCCGACUCCCAUCUCCCGCGCCGUCGCCGAAGACACACCAGACGCCUCGCUGAUGGCUUUGGCUCGCCUCGGACGGUCUCUCUCCGGCAGCCUCCACCGCUCUAUCUACCGUCCACCGGCGCCCACGUAG
rnacentral:misc_RNA from 1 species